rnacentral:lncRNA from 1 species
AUGGUUUCAGCAGCUGUACUCCAAAACCAUUAGAUGUACUUAAUGGUUUCCAGCAGUUUCCCUGCCAUAAAUCCCUCUAACAUAACAAAGAUUUCGAAUCCAGUAACAACUUCAGAUCUGAAACCGUGAACACAAACAAUGACGAAACGAUAACAUAUAACAAUCAACACAGCGCCACUGGAUCGAAGAAGAAGAAGAAGAAAACGCGAGGGAAGAAGAGGAGCG